rnacentral:tRNA from 1 species
GGCUGUGGCUCAGUGGAAGAGCGCUUGCCUAGCACGUGUGAGGCACUGGGUUUGAUCCUCAGCACCA